rnacentral:rRNA from 1 species
AUGUCUGACGAAGAAAAGGAUUUCGGUAAGUGCGAAUACUGCGAAGACCAGCGCGGCCCGUGCGACAGGCCUCACCUAGUUGGUGGUAGGCACUUCAGCAUCAAGAUGGAUGAGACCUUCGAAGUGGAUACACGUAUCCCCUGCCAUGCAAGAAUGUAUGUCUUGGAUAAGGUUGGUUUCAGUAAAAUGGAAACUAUGGAGGUAAAGAGAGUUCAAUUAAGGACCGGGCAUGGUUAUUCUUUCGCCGUAAAAUUAUACAAUGCAGACAUCUACACCUAUUUUGAAUGCAAAAAUUGGAGAGCACUAUGCAAGGCUUAUGCAUUUAAGCCUGAUAUGCUUAUUAUCACCUUUGAUAUUAGUCCAGAAGAUGAAGUUGAAGGUAAUAUCGACAUCUGGGUCGAUGUGCAGACGCCUCCAGUUCUACCAUUAUUGGAGUUUCUCAAUCAUAUUUAUGUCUUGGAUAUUGUUUAA